CUCACCAGUCUAUUUCACCUAUAUUUUAUGUUCACACAGGAAUAGCCAAGUAGGACUGUAAACCUCUUUCAAAGAUACAAAACAAAACCCCUAAGUGAUAAGAAAGCCUAAUGGUAACAUAUCUUUCUCUUUGUGGUUCACGAAAUGAUGGUUCUUUCUGCUCAGGUGUGUAUUUGACCAUCGUGGGAGUCAACGGCACAGAACAACCUAUGUGGACGUACUCGCUGGCUUCUGAAAGCCUCUUUGUGUCCCUUUCCCGGUGAAAGUCUGGAGGAAGACAAAUUCGAGCAUCUGUUUGGACAGGGGCCAUUUGGAGAACGGGACUGUCCUCUGUGUGGAUUUAUGAGUUUGUCGGAGCACAGAACAGAAGUGCGGAAGGGAGGCAGUGAAGGAGACAAACAAGGAAGAAGGUGCGGAGAAGAGGCAGAAGUCCAGGGAGAAGGAAGCUGGCGGAGGUGAAGAGACCUACGAGAGUUCCUUGAGCUGGAGACGUCAGACCACGAGGGUUCACCAACGUCCGGGUGGGGUGAUUUCAAAAGGCACUUGGGAAUUCCAAAGAUACACAGGAAAUUGUUUGCAUCGUAUGCCCCACGACAGGGCCUCCUCUGUCGAAUACUGAGUGGCGGGAGACAGGCGCCGAACGCACCCAAGGUAAAAAGAGAUCGGUCCCAGGGUCUGUCCUUCCCGCGGGAGGGAGGGGAGGACAGCAUGGGGUGCGGGGAGGGGAGGUGUACAAGCGAGAGUGACCUAGGGUAGCGUUGAGCUUGCGGUUGAAUCUGGACAGCUGUGGACAAUAUGACCAGAAGACGUGAGUCGUGUGACGGUUGAGAAAGAAUUCUUGAAACAGAAGAGGCUGGUGGAGAACCAAACUGCUGGAAGUUUCACCUAGCCCUCCUAA